rnacentral:rRNA from 1 species
CAAUAGCGUAUAUUAAAGUUGUUGCAGUUAAAAAGCUCGUAGUUGGAUUUCUGGUGGGAGCGAUCGGUCUGGCGCUUAGCGCGAGUACUUGCAUCGUCUCCGGCCAUCCUUGGGGAAAGUCUGUCUGGCAUUAAGUUGUCGGGCAGAGGAUCCUCAUCGUUUACUGUGAAAAAAUUAGAGUGUUCAAAGCAGGCUUAUGCCGUUGAAUAUAUUAGCAUGGAAUAAUAAGAUGGGACUUUGGUACUAUUUUGUUGGUUUGCGCACCAAAGUAAUGAUUAAUAGGGACAGUUGGGGGUAUUCGUAUUCCGUUGUCAGAGGUGAAAUUCUUGGAUUUACGGAAGACGAACUACUGCGAAAGCAUUUACCAAGGAUGUUUUCAUUAA